AUUGAACGCUGGCGGCAGGCCUAACACAUGCAAGUCGAACGAGUGGCGGACGGGUGAGUACUGUCUGGGAAACUGCCCGAUGGAGGGGGAUAACUACUGGAAACGGUAGCUAAUACCGCAUACCAUCGGAUGUCCCCCGAUGGGAUUAGCUUGUUGGUGGGGUAACGGCUCACCAAGGCGACGAUCCCUAGCUGGUCUGAGAGGAUGACCAGCCACAAUGGAACUUAGACACGGUCCAGACUCGUACGGGAGGCAGAAGUGGGGAAUAUUGCACAAUGGGGGCAAGCCUGAUGCAGCCAUGCCGCGUGUAUGAAGAAGGCCUUCGGGUUGUAAAGUACUUUCAGCGAGGAGGCGUUACCCGCAGAAGAAGCACCGGCUAACUCCGUGCCAGCAGCCGCGGUAAUUC
rnacentral:rRNA from 1 species